AUGGGCUUUGCUGGGAGCUGCUGGACCCUUUGCUCCAUCCUGCUGCUUCUCGGAGGAAACCUGGGUGUCCUCAUCAAAGCCCCUCAGGAUUCGGUCAAUGGCACUGUGGGCCACUCCGUGCUCCUGCCCGUCUCCUACAAAUUCACAAACUCCUCUUGCUUCCCACUGUCGUUUCACUGGACGUUCAGUAACCGCUCGGACGCGCUCAUCACCUGCACGGUGCUGAACUGCUCCCUGAGCGCGGAGGGGGCUCCCAAGCACUGCUUUGCAAAGCAUUUCCCACACGCCGCGUACCGAGGUCGCGUUGUGCUUUUCCCUGAGAACGCGUCCCUGCUGCUCCGGGACCUGCAGCUCAGCGACGGCGGGGUGUACAGCGUCACCUUCAAGCAGCAGAUCCAAACCAGGCACAUCACCUUAACUGUGUAUGGGCAUCAUUUCACCUCUGAAGACGAUAAUACCUGUGCAAUUUUUCAGAAGACAUCUAGAGUUAUAAAGCAGCAAGAGUCCUCCAGCCAUGAUGAGUCCCACAUGGAGAACAAGCUGAGAAGGGAUAUAUGCACAGUUUACGCACUGAUUGGUGAUGACCAGACACAGCCCAGAAUGAUGUGA
rnacentral:lncRNA from 1 species